rnacentral:tRNA from 1 species
GUCGAAGUGGCGAAAUGGCAGACGCGUCAGCUUGAGGGGCUGGUGCCCUUAUGGGCGUGCGGGUUCAAGUCCCGCCUUCGACACCA